UACGUAGGCAGCAAGCGUUGUUCGGAGUUACUGGGCGUAAAGGGUGUGUAGGCGGUUGUUUAAGUUUGGUGUGAAAUCUCCCGGCUCAACUGGGAGGGUGCGCCGAAUACUGAAUGACUAGAGUGCGGGGAGAGGAAAGUGGAAUUCCUGGUGUAGCGGUGAAAUGCGUAGAUAUCGGGAAGAACACCCGUGGCGAAAGCGGCUUCCUGGUCCAGCACCGACGUUCAGGCACGAAAGCGUGGGGAGCAAAC
rnacentral:rRNA from 1 species